CUUUCUCCCAGUCCUUUCUUUUGUAGCCUAAAUAGUCCAAAAAAAAAAAAACCUGACCCUGGCAAAGGUCCUCAGCAAGAGGAUGUGCAGGAUGGUUCUACAUACACAAUUUACUCCUCACCACAACUCAGGAAGAAGAAUUAUGUUCAUCACAAAAAGGAGAAGGAUCUGGAAGACAUGAUAAACUUUCACGGAAAAUGUCAAUUUAGCAUGCCUCUGUGACCCAAACUUCAAAAACGAGUGGGGUUCUCAAAGGUAAACAAACAGAACUAGCCUGCCUCGAGGGGGUAUAAAAAGAAGAGUACCAGGUAAGGAUAACACAGCUUCAAAAUAAAUUGUUAGAAUUGUGUUUUAAGAUAAAACUA
rnacentral:lncRNA from 1 species